rnacentral:rRNA from 1 species
GAUGAACGCUGACAGAAUGCUUAACACAUCAGCAAUUGAUUGGUGGCGGACGGGUGAGUAACGCGUAAAGAACUUGCCUCACAGGUAGGGACCACAUUUGUAAACGAAUGCUAAUACCUAUUACUGUGAGAGAGCUUUGCGUCCCAUUAGCUAGUUGGAGAGGUAACGGCUUACGAAGGCGAGGAUGGGUAGCCGGCCUGAGAGGGUGAUCGGCCACAAGGGGACAGAGACCCAGCCCUGACACCUACGGGGGGCAGCAGUGGGGAAUAUUGGACAAUGGACCAAAGUCUGAUCGAGGAAUUCUGUGUGUACGAUGAAGUUUUCGGAAUGUAAAGUGCUUUCAGUUGGAAAGCGGUACCAACAGAAGAAGUGACGGCUAAAUACGUGCCAGCAGCCGCGGUAAUAC